ACCGGCGGCUCGAGUGGUGGCCACUAUUACUGGGCUUAAAGCGUUCGUAGCUGGCUUGUUAAGUCUCUGGGGAAAUCUUCCGGCUCAACCGGAAGGCGUCUCAGGGAUACUGGCAGGCUAGGGACCGGAAGAGGUGAGAGGUACUCCAGGGUUAGGAGUGAAAGCCUGGAACCCUGGGGGAACAACCUGGGGCGAGGCCGCCUCCCCGGGACGGCCCGGCAGUGGAGAAAGGAAUGCUGGGGAGCAAACCG
rnacentral:rRNA from 1 species